ensembl:lncRNA
CAGCGUUUUUGUGAUCAGCUCGAGCUUUUCCCAGUCUCUUUUUCUCACACUCCUGGUUUUAAACCCUUGUCUGUACUGACUCUGAGCCCGCCUGUCUGACCACUCUGCCUGCCCCUGACCCUGUCUGCCGACCUCUACCUUUGCCCCACCUCUGGUUUACUGAGCAGUCCCAGUCGAACCGGGGGGGGGCUGAUAAUCAGAUGUUUGUGCCUGACGCUGUCCUCCUCCUAUGCGGUCCUGGAGUGGGCCCAUUCUUCCAGGUUUGCCUGCCACCCGGGCACCCGCCGGACCCUGGCCUUCUUGCGACACUGCUUUUGGUGGCCUACAAUGGUUCCGGAUGUCGCCGCGUUUGUCUCCGCCUGCACAGUCUCCGCCUGCUAAGAAUAAGACCCUCGGCAACCCCGGUCUGGUCUUCAGCAACCACUCACCGUUCCUGGUACCACAUAUCCCUGGAUUUGGUCACGGGUCUCCCCCCGUCUGGGGGCAACACUGCCAUCCUGACUGUGGUCGACUAGUUUUCCAAGACCGCUCACUUCCUUCCUCUCGCCAAACUACCCUCGGCCAAGGAGAUGGCUCAGCUCAUGGUGCAGCACGUCUUCCGGAUCCAUGGACUACCCAUGGACAUGGUCUCCGACUGGGGGUCUCAGCUCUCGUUCCGGUCGAGUACGCCCGCAACACCCUUCCCUGCUCCACCCGGGCCUAUCUCCGUUUGAGUAUUCCCUGGGGUAUCAGCCACACUAUUCCCCGAGCAGGGGGAAGAGGUCGGCGUACUUUCUGCCCAGAUGUUUAUCCGCCGCUGUCGUCGUACCUAGGGGAGAGCCCGGUCCGGCCGUCGUCAAGACCACCUCCAAGUAUCAUCAACAAGCGGAUCGCCAUCGGACCCCAGCUCCCCGGCCCACCCCUCUCCUCAGUCUCAUCGAUGGUCAACCAGCUUACACGGUGACACCUCACCUCACCUCACCUCCUGAAGGUUCGACCUCGGGGCAGGGGGU